ensembl:lncRNA
UGAACACCUUCUAUUUUAAGCCAGUCCAAUCCCUCCACCAAAUACUGCUCCAGGGAUACCGUCAGACCACUGAAAAACAGCAGAUGGAUUACACUGGUGUAUCUGCCCAGACUAGCCCAGGAUCCUGGUUCCUGUCUUGGAAAGUGAAAGAUGCAAGGAGUCCCUGGGAAGAGGCAUUUCAUUAAGGAUGGACAUGAGGUCAUGAUUAAGAAGAGGGCCAGAAGAAGUCAUAGCAAGGGCAUCUCCCACCGAUGGAACAAGAACCAAGAGAUGAAGCACAUCAAAAACAAAGGCAGAAAUGGAGAAACAGAUUCCUGACAGAUCUUGUUACAUGUUUUGCUGCUUUUCUGUUUGAACAAAGUCGUGAUGAGCCUCUCGAGUCUGAGAGGAACCAGGAAAGGAAAAUGGGAGUGUGCAGCUGCCUCAAGGAGGAGGCCAGAUGAGGACGGGCAGGAGGUUCUCCAGGCUGAGAAAGAAGACAUGGAGACAACCUGGUAUUGCACUGGGAUCUGGAAGCUUCAUGCAUGUUUCAGAACACCUUUAAACAGAAG